rnacentral:rRNA from 1 species
AUUGAACGCUGGCGGAAUGCUUUACACAUGCAAGUCGAACGGCAGCACGGGGCAACCUGGUGGCGAGUGGCGAACGGGUGAGUAUACAUCGGAACGUGCCCAAUCGUGGGGGAUAACGUAGCGAAAGUUACGCUAAUACCGCAUACGAUCUACGGAUGAAAGCGGGGGAUCGCAAGACCUCGCGCGAAUGGAGCGGCCGAUGUCAGAUUAGGUAGUUGGUGGGGUAAAGGCUCACCAAGCCAACGAUCUGUAGCUGGUCUGAGAGGACGACCAGCCACACUGGGACUGAGACACGGCCCAGACUCCUACGGGAGGCAGCAGUGGGGAAUUUUGGACAAUGGGCGCAAGCCUGAUCCAGCCAUUCCGCGUGCAGGAUGAAGGCCUUCGGGUUGUAAACUGCUUUUGUACGGAACGAAACGGCUCUCUCUAAUACAGGGGGCUAAUGACGGUACCGUAAGAAUAAGCACCGGCUAACUACGUGCCAGCAGCCGCGGUAAAAC